UCGAUUUGGAGUUUGUUGCCCUGAGUGAUGGGCUCCGAAGCUAACGCGAUAAAUCGACCGCCUGGGGAGUACGGCCGCAAGGUUAAAACUCAAAUGAAUUGACGGGGGCCCGCACAAGCGGUGGAGCAUGUGGUUUAAUUCGAUGCAACGCGAAGAACCUUACCUGGUCUUGACAUCCACAGAAUCUUGCAGAGAUGCGAGAGUGCCUUCGGGAACUGUGAGACAGGUGCUGCAUGGCUGUCGUCAGCUCGUGUUGUGAAAUGUUGGGUUAAGUCCCGCAACGAGCGCAACCCUUAUCCUUUGUUGCCAUUGGUUCGGCCGGGAACUCAAAGGAGACUGCCGUUGAUAAAGCGGAGGAAGGUGGGGACGACGUCAAGUCAUCAUGGCCCUUACGACCAGGGCUACACACGUGCUACAAUGGCGUAUACAAAGGGAGGCGACCUCGCGAGAGCAAGCGGACCUCAUAAAGUACGUCUAAGUCCGGAUUGGAGUCUGCAACUCGACUCCAUGAAGUCGGAAUCGCUAGUAAUCGUGAAUCAGAAUGUCACGGUGAAUACGUUCCCGGGCCU
rnacentral:rRNA from 1 species